rnacentral:rRNA from 1 species
GACGAACGCUGGCGGCGUGCUUAACACAUGCAAGUCGAGCGGUAAGGCCCUUUCGGGGGUACGACGAGCGGCGAACGGGUGAGUAACACGUGGGUGACCUGCCCUCAGCUCUGGGAUAAGCCUGGGAAACCGGGUCUAAUACUGGAUAUGACUCCAUGACGCAUGUUGUGGGGUGGAAAGCCUUGUGCGGCUGAGGAUGGGCCCGCGGCCUAUCAGCUUGUUGGUGGGGUGAUGGCCUACCAAGGCGACGACGGGUAGCCGGCCUGAGAGGGCGACCGGCCACACUGGGACUGAGACACGGCCCAGACUCCUACGGGAGGCAGCAGUGGGGAAUCUUGCGCAAUGGGCGAAAGCCUGACGCAGCGACGCCGCGUGAGGGAUGACGGCCUGUGUAACU